rnacentral:rRNA from 1 species
UACGAAGGGGGCUAGCGUUGCUCGGAAUUACUGGGCGUAAAGGGCGCGUAGGCGGAUACUUAAGUCGGGGGUGAAAGCCCGGGGCUCAACCUCGGAAUUGCCUUCGAUACUGGGUAUCUUGAGUUCGGGAGAGGUGAGUGGAAUGCCGAGUGUAGAGGUGAAAUUCGUAGAUAUUCGGCGGAACACCAGUGGCGAAGGCGACUCACUGGCCCGAUACUGACGCUGAGGAGCGAAAGCGUGGGGAGCGUACAGG